rnacentral:miRNA from 1 species
CCCCUGGUUGUUGUGCCGAUACC